rnacentral:rRNA from 1 species
GCGCGAAAACUUUACAAUGCUGGCAACAGCGAUAAGGGAACCUCGAGUGCCUGGUUACAAGUCUGGCUGUCGAGAUGCCUAAAAAGCAUUUCAUAGCAAGGGCCGGGCAAGACCGGUGCCAGCCGCCGCGGUAACACCGGCGGCUCGAGUGGUAACCGUUAUUAUUGGGUCUAAAGGGUCUGUAGCCGGCCGGAUAAGUCUCUUGAGAAAUCUGGCAGCUUAACUGUCGGGCUUUCAGGAGAUACUGUCUGGCUCGAGGCCGGGAGAGGUGAGAGGUACUUCAGGGGUAGGGGUGAAAUCUUGUAAUCCUUGAAGGACCACCAGUGGCGAAGGCGUCUCACCAGAACGGACCUGACGGCAAGGGACGAAAGCUAGGGGCACGAACCG